rnacentral:tRNA from 1 species
UAGAAAAUGGUGUACUGGAAGCACUGAGAGUUUUGAUCUCUCCAGAUGGGGUUCGAGUCCCCUUUUUCUAA